rnacentral:rRNA from 1 species
CCUACGGGAGGCAGCAGUAAGGAAUAUUGGUCAAUGGACGAAAGUCUGAACCAGCCAUGCCGCGUGAAGGAUUAAGGCCCUCUGGGUUGUAAACUUCUUUUAUCUGGGACGAAAAAGGGUAUUCUUACUCACUUGACGGUACCAGAGGAAUAAGCACCGGCUAACUCCGUGCCAGCAGCCGCGGUAAUACGGAGGGUGCAAGCGUUAUCCGGAUUUACUGGGUUUAAAGGGUGCGUAGGUGGGCUUGUAAGUCAGUGGUGAAAUCUCCGGGCUUAACCCGGAAACUGCCAUUGAUACUAUAGGUCUUGAAUUAUCUGGAGGUAAGCGGAAUAUGUCAUGUAGCGGUGAAAUGCUUAGAUAUGACAUAGAACACCAAUUGCGAAGGCAGCCUACUACGGAUAUAUUGACACUGAGGCACGAAAGCGUGGGGAUCAAACAGGAUUAGAUACCCUGGUAGUCCACGCCCUAAACGAUGGAUACUCGACAUCAGCGAUACACUGUUGGUGUCUGAGCGAAAGCAUUAAGUAUCCACCUGGGAAGUACGAUCGCAAGAUUGAAACUCAAAUGAAUUGACGG